rnacentral:rRNA from 1 species
UACGAAGGGGGCUAGCGUUGCUCGGAAUCACUGGGCGUAAAGCGCACGUAGGCGGUUGCGUAAGUCGGAUGUGAAAACUCAGGGCUCAACCCUGAGACGCCAUCCGAUACUGCGCUGACUAGAAUCCAGUAGGGGAGUGUGGAAUUCCUGGUGUAGCGGUGAAAUGCGCAGAUAUCAGGAGGAACACCCAUGGCGAAGGCAGCACUCUGGGCUGGAAUUGACGCUGAGGAGCGAAAGCAUGGGUAGCGAACAGG